CACUCCCUCUUUGAAACUGAGGACUGCAAGACAAGCGAAAUAUCUUCUCCAAGAUUAGCCCGCACAUUACUAACACAAUCUGGAGUAUGGUCCACCUCCUCACUUUGAAUAACCCACUAGAUAUAUUCUUCUGAAUGAAGUGACAGAUAUGGGACUGAGAAGGGACUGGGAUUAUCGAUGUGUGAUAAAACCACUGGGACUUCCUUGGACACUCUCGUCUUGGAAGACCUGAGUGGGAAGGUGGCAUUCAUUAAUGGGAGUGAUGACCUCUCUUUCUUCACACCUGGCUCAGGCAGUCCUCCUGGGAAAGAAGCAGCUGUGUGGAUGAGGCAGCUAGCAAACAAUCUCAUCUGCCAUGGGAUGCUGACAAGCUUGAGGACUGAGCAGCGCUGUUCAAGGAGAUGCAGGGUGCCCCAGUUGUGAUUCCCUUGUCGUCCUUCCUUGUCACAUCUUCUCAUCGCGUAUCCUUUCCUAAAAGCUAGUGGAAGGUAUUAGUAAUUCAAAUGUUUUGUGCACAAGUGAAUCUUCAUUGUUUGUGCUCCAUUUUCUGUCAGAGCCAUAGGCACUGUAAAAUAAAAUAGAUAUAUGUCCAGCAGA